CAAUCUGACCCUGUUGCUAUGCCUGGAACACUCUAGAACGCUCCCAUUAGAGGACUUGUACAUUGGCUGUUCUCUAAUGGGAAUACAUUUACCCUGGACAUCUGCAGACUCAACUCCUCCAACUUUUGUAAUUCAUGCUCAAUAUAAAAAAGGAAACAUUGACACCAUCAAAUUACUGCUAACCAAUUCUGUACUAGGAAAAUGAUGUCAAUGGAAGCAGCCUUCUCCUUAUCUCUGAAAAAUGAUGCCAACAGGGCAAGUAUCUUUUACUUUAUUGGAUGGAAGAAGGAA